GCUGAUGACCCCCAAGAGUCCAUAUCGACGGGGUUGUUUGGCACCUCGAUGUCGACUCAUCGCAUCCUGGGGCUGGAGCAGGUCCCAAGGGUAUGGCUGUUCGCCAUUUAAAGCGGUACGUGAGUUGGGUUCAGAACGUCGUGAGACAGUUCGGUCCCUAUCUGCCGUGGGUGUAGGAAUAUUGAUAGGAUCUGUCCCUAGUACGAGAGGACCGGGAUGGACGUAUCUCUGGUGGACCUGUUGUCGUGCCAACGGCAUAGCAGGGUAGCUAUAUACGGACGGGAUAACCGCUGAAGGCAUCUAAGCGGGAAACCCACCUAAAAACGAGUAUUCCCUAUCAGAGCCGUGGAAGACCACCACGUUGAUAGGCCGGGUGUGGAAGUGCGGCAACGCAUGUAGCUUACCGGUACUAAUAGCUCGAUCGACUUGAUCACUCCCAUUU
rnacentral:rRNA from 1 species